rnacentral:rRNA from 1 species
CCUACGGGAGGCAGCAGUGAGGAAUAUUGGACAAUGGGCGCAAGCCUGAUCCAGCCAUGCCGCGUGCAGGAAGACGGUCCUAUGGAUUGUAAACUGCUUUUGUACGGGAAGAAACACUCCUUCGUGAAGGAGCUUGACGGUACCGUAAGAAUAAGGAUCGGCUAACUCCGUGCCAGCAGCCGCGGUAAUACGGAGGAUCCAAGCGUUAUCCGGAAUCAUUGGGUUUAAAGGGUCCGUAGGCGGUUUAGUAAGUCAGUGGUGAAAGCCCAUCGCUCAACGGUGGAACGGCCAUUGAUACUGCUAGACUUGAAUUAUUAGGAAGUAACUAGAAUAUGUAGUGUAGCGGUGAAAUGCUUAGAGAUUACAUGGAAUACCAAUUGCGAAGGCAGGUUACUACUAAUGGAUUGACGCUGAUGGACGAAAGCGUGGGUAGCGAACAGGAUUAGAUACCCUGGUAGUCCACGCCGUAAACGAUGGAUACUAGCUGUUGGGCGCAAGUUCAGUGGCUAAGCGAAAAGUGAUAAGUAUCCACCUGGGGAGUACGUUCGCAAGAAUGAAACUUCAAAGGAAUUGACGG